rnacentral:rRNA from 1 species
GGUCUGAUUCUGGUUCGAUUUGUAUCACGCAUGGACGUUUUACAUGCAAGUCGAACGGCAGCACGGACUUCGGUCUGGCGGCGCAGUGGCUAACGGUGAUAAUGUAUCGGAACGUGCCUAGUAGCGGGGAUAACUACGCGAAAGGUAGCUAAUACCGCAUGCCCUUCGGGGAAAGCGGGGACCUUCACUGCACUAUUAGAGUGUGGCCGAUACCGGAUUAGCGAGAAGGGUGGGUAACGCUCACCAAGGCGACGAUCCGUAGCUGGUUUGAGUGGAGACGACCAGCCACACUGGGACUGAGACACGCCCCAGACUCUACGAGGCAGUGGGAAUUUUGGACAAUGGGGGAACCCUGGAUCCAGCCAUCCCGCGUGCGAUGAAGGCUCGGGUUGUAAAGCACUUUUGGCAGGAAAGAACGGCACGAUAAUACCCUCGUGCAAACUGACGGCACCGUGAAUAAAGAAUUUGGUUAAUCACGCCAGCACAAGUAAUACGUAGGGUGCAAGCGUUAACGGAAUUACUGGGCGUAAAAAGCGGCAGGCGGUUCGGAAAGAAAGAUGGGAAAUCCCGAGCUUAACUUUGGAACUGCAUUUUUAACUACCGAGCUAGAGUGUGUCAGAGGGAGGUGAAUUCCGCGUAGCAGGAAACGGCGUAGAUAUGUGAGGAACGACCAUGGCGAAGGCAGCCUCCUGGGAUAACACCGACGCUCAUGCACGAAAUGGGAGUAAACAGGAUUAGAUAAUUCUUAGUAGUUCCACGUCUCGCAAAUGAUGUCAACUAGCUGUUGGGGCCUCGGGCCUGGUAGCGCAGCUAAUCGCGUGAAGUUGACCGCCGUUUGGGGAGUACGGUCAAAGAUUAAACUCAAAGGAAUUGACGGGGACCCGCACAAGCGGUGGAUGAUGAUUAAUUCGAUGCAACGCGAAAACCUUACCUACCCUUGACAUGUCUGGAAUCCCGAAGAUUUGGGAGUGGUUUGCAAGAGAACCGGAACACAGGUGUUGCAUGGCUGUCGUCAGCUCGUGUUUAGAUGUUGGCGUUAAGUCCUGCAACGGAGCAAGCAGUAACCCUUGUCAUUAGUUACGCUUAAAAGGGCACUUAAUGAGACUGCUGGUGAGACAACCGGAGUAGCGUGAUGACGUCAAGUCCUCAUGGCCCUAUGGUAGGGGCUUCACACGUCAUACAAUGGUCGGGACAGAGGGUCGCCAACCUCGUGAGGGGAGCUUGCCAAUCUCAGAAACCCGAUCGUAAACCGGGAUCGGCAGUCUGCAACUCGACUGCGUGAAGUCGGAACGCUGUAAUCGCGGGAUCAGCAUGUUCAGGUGCAGAAUACGUUCCUGGUCGUGUUGUUACACUCCCGCCCGUCACACCAUGGGCGGGGUUUACCAGAAGUAGUUAUCAAACUGUAAGGAGGGCGAUUACCACGCAGUAGGAUUCAUGACUGGGGUAGGGUCGUAACAAGGUA